ensembl:misc_RNA Metazoa_SRP Metazoan signal recognition particle RNA
GCCAGGCGCGGUGGCAUGUGUCUAUGGUCCCAGCUACUCGGGAGGCUGAGGUGGGAGGAUCACUUGGGCCCAGGAGUUCUGGGCCGCAGCCGGCUAUGCCGAUCGGGUGUCUGCACUAAGUUCGGCAUCAAUAUAGUGACCUCCCGGACGCGGAGGAAUACCAGGUUGCCUAAAGGCAGGUGAAGCGAUCCAGGUCGGAAAUGGAGCAGGUCAAAACUCCUGCAGUGGGAUCGUGCCUGUGAAUAGCCACCACACCCCAGCCUGGGCAACAUAGCAAGACCCCAUCUCU